GUUAGGAGCGGUAGGAAACAGGUCUGGGUAGGGAGCCCGCCCCUCGGGCUGACCGCGUGGUGCCCGCAAAGUCCUCUCCCUUCCCCCAACGUCCAGCGCCUGGAGGUCCUGGGUUUGCGCCAUGCUCGGCAGCUGGAGUCACGUUUUCGUUUCCCUGCCCGGUUGUAACAUCUUAAAAUUUAUUUAUCUUUUUUAUUUCAAAUAACCGCAACAAAAAUCUGUUUCCAGAUUCCUGAACUUUCCUGGGCUUCUAGAGAAAUCGACUCGUUCUGCCCCCUCCCUUUCUGACCCCCUUUGUGGUCUGCGGGGUUGUUUUAAGCAAAACCAAACAACCCUUACCAAAAAAAGCAAACGAAAAAUUCCGGGUAAAAUCAAGUAUGCCGAGAUCACAUUUUCGUUGACGCUGCCUUAAGACCAAUGAAGCUGAGACCGACCCCGAAGGAUUAACGAUUUCUGUAGCUGAAAUGUUCUAAUUUUACUGACGUUUGGUGGAGACGAUUUCUGAAGAAUGUUUCCAUGUGGGUAUUUUACUUUUAUAGAAAUAAAUUAUAGAUUGUUAGAAGAAAAAAAGAUGGACCCUCUUGAGACCAACUGGACGAUAUUCUAGACCAAACUAAAUAAAGAGAGAAUAAGAGAAAGAUCCCAGUCUUCACAUUGCAAUCCACCCAUCUCAGCCAGCCUGGUCACAGGGUCUCAAUGCCAUCACCAACUGCCAACCGCAGGAUCAUGGACAUGUCUGUACCCAGCAUACUGUAAAGCCUCUGGAUGCAAAUCUGGAAACUUACCAUAUUUCUUUUUAAGGAGCAGGAGAAAUUAGAAGGUUGGAAAAAUCAAGAAUCAAACAAACAAUAAAAG